rnacentral:hammerhead_ribozyme from 1 species
AUUCGAGUCCCAGAGUGAACAUGAACUCUGAAAUGUAGGUACAUCCUGCAAAAUAGGGCGAAACGCGCGUCCUGAAU